UACUGUAUACAAGGCAAGUACACACUUUUAAGAUGAAGUUGUUGGGCGGGAACGGGAACCAAAUGACUUGCAUCACCUUCGAUUUCUCAAUUGGGUUCGGAUCACCCAUCAGCGAGAGUUAAGGUCGAGGCAUGGAUGGGGGACAACUCUUGUCUACAUCUCGUUGAUGCUUUCAAGAGACUAGUAAAAGCACCAAUAAGAAUCUGUGGUGAUCGACAGAUUGAAAGAAUUCAUUCGUCUCCGUUAGUUAAGUUCUUUAAAAAAAAUAAAAUCUGCUCUGUAUUUGAUUUUCCUGAUCUGUUAUUAUCAUCUGCUUGUUUUGCUUUGAUCCAUCUCGUUUCAUCUAGAAAAAAAUAGAUUUUUUACAUUGUUUUGAUAGAUUCAUGUGAAUUUCACUUCGGUUAAUUUUCACCGUACAACUUGUUUUUGUAUGUUAUGUAACAAGGAACAGAAGGUUUGAGAGAAUGUUAGCCUCGCAUGACGUGUCUGACUCCCACCAUUAGAAGCAAUCUUCCUUGGUUAUGGUUUCUCAAAGGCAUCAGUCCUGUGGCGAUAUUGAAGAAUGCAGCUCAAGUGACAAGAUAUUCUGACCAAAACCAGCAGCAAUCUUCUAAGAUACAGCAACACUCCUCAAUAUAAAAUGCAUUAAUAAGAAGACGGGAGAGCAGUACACGGAAGGGCCCAAGGUUGAAAAGUACAAGGAGAUGCUGAUGAAGAAAACUCAAGAUCAGGGCGCCCAGUUAAUUUCUUAUGACCCAGUCAAAGGGGAGUGGAAGUUCAAGGUUGAUCACUUUAGCUGGUAUGAAUGCUGCAAGAUUGAGGAUUCAUGUGCAUGCUUCUUUUCAAAUUGCAACUUAUGUUUGUGUAGCAUUUCAGAUUGCAAGAAAUAAGACCGUUUUUGCACACUGAAGUAGAUAAAAGAGGCAUGUUUGUCUUGCAUCAGUUUAUUUUAUUUUAUUUUUAUUUUUAUUUUUUUGAGAAAGAUUUUUUUCUCUAUGGCUACGGAUUUAACCCGUAGCCUUUAACCAUUUUCCUGAAUAACUGACGAUUUAGGGGCGUCUAGCACAAUCGCGGGUAAAGGUCCCUAACCGCUAGUAAAGCCUUUACCGAUGCCACUUUUACCGGCAGUUUUUUGGGCCUUUAUAAAGGACUUAUCUAGGUGCAAGGAAACAUUGUCAACCCUUAAAGCCAUGCAGGGGCAAGGAGGCUAUACACAACUAGAACUGGACAUAGCUCACCUUGAAAAGGAAAUUGAGUUAUAUUCAAUGGAGAAGCUGUGUUAUGAAGCUUAAAUGAUGGUAUGGUAAAUGAGAAGGCUCCAUCUCCUUUUCAAAUAGGAAAUUGCUUCACAUCUGGGCUUUCCUGAUGGUUCUGUAAGCCACUAUGGUCUGGAUGUUUAUGUUAAAAGUGUGUUAUUAAUGGCUGACAUUGUUCUUUAUGGUUCCUUUGAAGUACCCAUCAUUGCU